CGCCCGAGGCAGAGCUGACCGGUACGAGGGGGCUGAUUCGCCCGCUCUCGCGCUCACCUAACCGCCGGCCGCAGACUACCUCCGCCGGCUUCCACCACCUUCCGCUUCCGCAGGGUUCUACGCAUGCGCGCACGGAUGGCGGUUGGCGGAGUAGGGACACGCUGAGCGCAGCGGCCAACCGCAGUGAGGUCGGGAGCGGCACCGUGCUUGCUGCUGGCUCUUCGCCUUGUCCUGUUGCUCCAAGACCUGAGAUCAAGAGCAGAUGAAGCAGCAGCAGAAACAUACUAAUCUUACUUGUGUGGACUUUUAAUUUAAAUGUUCUGCAGUUUCAGAUUUCAGCUUCUCAGAAUCUAUGGAAAAUCAGGCCCCACAUAUCUGAAGCUGGGCAACCAAAAAUGGAGGCACCUGAAUUUAGUGCACACUUCUGAAAAUUUGGCCCUCAGAGACUUGUUGAAGCUCAAAUUGUGAAUCACUGGCAUAGGUGAGAACAGCAUCUUGUGAAUUUUCCACCAUAUCACCCUGUCUCUCUUGUGUAAGGGAAAAAUAAC